CAUUGAUAUUACAGCUUUUACUCCAAAAGUGAGCUUAAAAGGUGUUUAUCCGGUUGGCCUCCGAGGUAUAGUUCUGUAUUCUCAGAGAACAUUAUAAAGUUUUUCUACUCAAAGAUCUUUUGUCUCAGUGAGCCUUAUCUUUAAAUCUUAAAGGAUAGUUCUAUUAGUAACUUCAGCUUUUUCAUUUGAUUAUAGAUGUCCUACUGAUGUAA
rnacentral:lncRNA from 1 species